UACGUAGGCAGCGAGCGUUGUUCGGAAUUACUGGGCGUAAAGAGUGUGUAGGCGGUGCUCUAAGUUCGGUGUGAAAUCUCCUGGCUUAACUGGGAGGGUGCGCCGGAAACUGGAGUGCUCGAGCGUGGGAGAGGAAAGCGGAAUUCCUGGUGUAGCGGUGAAAUGCGUAGAUAUCAGGAGGAACACCUGUGGUGUAGACGGCUUUCUGGACCAUAGCUGACGCUGAUGCGCGAAAGCGUGGGUAGCAAACAGG
rnacentral:rRNA from 1 species